CACGUAGGGUGCGAGCGUUUGUCCGGAAUUAUUGGGCGUAAAGAGCUCGGUAGGCGGUGUGUCGCGUCGGCCGUGAAAACUUGCAGCUUAACUGUGGGCGUGCGGUCGAUACGGGCAUCACUGGAGUUCGGCAGGGGGAGACUUGGAAUUCCUGGUGUAGCGGUGGAAUGCGCAGAUAUCAGGAGGAACACCGGUGGCGAAGGCGGGUCUCUGGGCAGUAACUGACGCUGGAGGAGCGAAAGCCGUGGGGGAGCGAACAGG
rnacentral:rRNA from 1 species